UGCCAUCGAAAAAUGGAAUGAUGCGCCUGCCUCCGUACUGCCUAUCAUAAGAAAGCUCAUUAAUGGUGGCAUCAGAGUUUGGGUUUACAGCGGAGACACUGACGGUAGGAUUCCAGUAACCUCAACAAGAUUAACCCUUCGUAAGCUUGGCUUGAACACUACUCAGGAAUGGAAACCUUGGUACAACAGGCAGCAGGUAGGUGGUUGGACAAUCAUCUUUGAUGGACUAACUUUUAUAACAGUUCGAGGUGCUGGGCACCAAGUUCCAACGUUUGCUCCAAGGCAAGCACAGCAGAUUGUAUCACACUUCUUAGCUAAUCAACAAUUGCCUUCAUCCUCGUUUUAGAUUUCAUCGUUCCUCUCAAUUUUCCAUAAUUUGAAACCGUUGUCAAGGGAAUUAAGAUUUAUCUCCCAAUAGCUUGUUUCCAAAAUAAACGUGUUGGUUGUAACUAAAAAGAAUGGAACAGAAAAAGCUUAUUUGGAUGUCUUUUUAGUUGUUA